GGGGGGGGGGGGGGGGGGGGUGGGGGGGGGGGGGGGGGGGGGGGGGGGGCGGGGUUGGUGGGGUGCUCGAGUGGCGAACGGGUGGGUCACCCUGGGGUAAGCUGGCCGGGACUGUGGGAUACCUUCGGGGAACUGGGGCUCAUGCCGGCUAGGCGCUCCUGCUGCCUGUUGGGUGUUGGGAAGGUUCGGGGGUUGGGGCGUGACGCGCGGCUUAUCAGCCUGUUGGUGGGGUAGUGUCUUACCACGGCUUUGACGGGUAGCCGGCCUGAGAGGGUGACCGGCCACAUUGGGACUGAGAUACGGCCCAGACUCCUACGGGAGGCAGCAGUGGGGAAUAUUGCACAAUGGGCGGAAGCCUGAUGCAGCAACGCCGCGUGCGGGAUGAAGGCCGUCGGGUUGUAAACCGCUUUCGCCUGUGACGAAGCGUGAGUGACGGUAAUGGGUAAAGAAGCACCGGCUAACUACGUG
rnacentral:rRNA from 1 species